GCGAGAGUGGCGGAAUUGGUAGACGCACUAGAUUUAGGAUCUAGCGCUUAGGCGUGCGGGUUCAACUCCCGCCUCUCGCACCA
rnacentral:tRNA from 1 species